rnacentral:lncRNA from 1 species
CGCGUAUCGGUCGAUCUCUCGGUUCAAGGUACUGUUCCAAUUUAUUUUCCCAAUUCAAUCAGUCAAUCGAUUUCUGCGUUAUAUGCAAUCGUUUGGGUGCUGAGAAAAUGAAAGAAAAUUUUGAAUCGCAAAAUUUUCAUCAUCCAGGGUUCGAGAAUACUGAAAUUUGCAUUUUACCUGUAACUUAUAAUACACUUUGGCUUGAAUUUUUUAAUUAUUUGAUUUUUUUUUUUCGGAUUUUUGGCAGCAAAGAGAGUGAGAGAGAUAACAUAGUAAACAAAAUGUGGUAUAUUUGUAAGCAAAGAUACCAUGCUUACAAAUGUCUCUCUUCAUGAUGGUAGUGCACUGGUGCUGUUUGGUUAUCCAAAUAACAGUAAAUUAGAUUUGCACGAUAUACAAAUCACGCGCUUUUAGAGAGGGGAAUCUUUGUGUCACAUCACAAUAUAACCAUCUUAUCUUACCCACUUUGUUAUCCAUCGACACGUGUUGUACUAUCGGACUUGAAAUAUGUUUAAAACGUUUUUGAUUUUGACAAUAAAAAACACACAAAAAAAAAAAAAAAAAAAAAAA